rnacentral:rRNA from 1 species
UGAACUUAAGCAUAUCAAUAAGCGGAGGAAAAGAAACCAACAGGGAUUGCCCUAGUAACGGCGAGUGAAGCGGCAACAGCUCAAAUUUGAAAUCUGGCCUCGGCCCGAGUUGUAAUUUGUAGAGGAAGCUUUUGGCACGGCACCUGCUGAGUCCCCUGGAACGGGGCGCCAUAGAGGGUGAGAGCCCCGUAUAGCAGGACGCCUAGCCUCUGUAAAGCUCCUUCGACGAGUCGAGUAGUUUGGGAAUGCUGCUCAAAAUGGGAGGUAAAUUUCUUCUAAAGCUAAAUACCGGCCAGAGACCGAUAGCGCACAAGUAGAGUGAUCGAAAGAUGAAAAGCACUUUGAAAAGAGGGUUAAAUAGCACGUGAAAUUGUUGAAAGGGAAGCGCUUGUGACCAGACUCGCGCCGGGCUGAUCAUCCGAGCUUCUGCUCGGUGCACUCUGCCCGGCUCGGGCCAGCAUCGGUUCUCGCGGGGGGAUAAAGGCCCUGGGAACGUAGCUCCUCCGGGAGUGUUAUAGCCCGGGGUGUAAUGCCCUCGCGGGGACCGAGGACCGCGCUUCGGCAAGGAUGCUGGCGUAAUGGUCAUCAGCGACCCGUCUUGAAACACGGACCAAGGAGUCAAGGUUUUGCGCGAGUGUUUGGGUGUUAAACCCGCACGCGUAAUGAAAGUGAACGUAGGUGAGAGCUUCGGCGCAUCAUCGACCGAUCCUGAUGUAUUCGGAUGGAUUUGAGUAGGAGCGUUAAGCCUUGGACCCGAAAGAUGGUGAACUAUGCUUGGAUAGGGUGAAGCCAGAGGAAACUCUGGUGGAGGCUCGCAGCGGUUCUGACGUGCAAAUCGAUCGUCAAAUCUGAGCAUGGGGGCGAAAGACUAAUCGAACCAUCUAGUAGCUGGUUACCGCCGAAGUUUCCCUCAGGAUAGCAGUGUUGUUCUUCAGUUUUAUGAGGUAAAGCGAAUGAUUAGGGACUCGGGGGCGCUUUAUAGCCUUCAUCCAUUCUCAAACUUUAAAUAUGUAAGAAGCCCUUGUUACUUAAUUGAACGUGGGCAUUCGAAUGUACCAACACUAGUGGGCCAUUUUUGGUAAGCAGA